ACGUUUUGGGGAAAUGUGUAAAAGUCGUUACGCAAAGUAGCAAACGUUCGAUCGAACUGAACGCACCCCUGGCUACGUUCGCCGCGGGAAAUCUGUUAACGCAAGCUAACUAGUAACCCACAUUAUUCAUAGAAUGUUAUAUUAUCAUAGCUAGCUAGUGCAAUUGAAAUGUUCAAUCAUCUUUCGACAACAUUAUGUCAGGAAAUGGACUGUGGACCAGAAUUCAGCAGUUUUUGGAUUCCCACGAGCGGCUAAUGUUUACUCAGAGCCCUUUCCAGCAGAUGCAGGACCUCUUGGGCGAUGGCGGAUCAAGAAGGAAGUGAUCCAACCUGGAGAAGGCCCACCAGUGCCAAGAGAUUCAUCUGUGUCAAGUACCCUCUAAAAAUACUCCUAUCUUUAGGAUGCCUUACAAUGUAAAGUAUAUGUAUUGCAUAUUUAUUGGGACAUAAUGCAAUCGAUUAUAUGUAUCAACAUUACACCAUAGUGGGACACCACCAUUUUUUCUUAUAACAUUUCCCAUUUGUACACCUGCUAAUAUUCCUUCAGUUAAUUUCUCAGGAUUUCUUGAGUACUCUGACUGACCGUUUGAGACCACCAGCCACCUGAAAUACCCUCGAAUGAUGAAGCUUGGAAGAGACGUGACUCUAUGUGGCCUGGAGCUGGGUAUUCUGACCAUGAGGAAGGGAGAGUUUUCUCUUCCUGCCUGCGUAUGCGAAUGGAGAGAUGGGCUGCCCUCCACUCAUCCCUCCUGUAGCCACUGUGCUCUACGAGGUGCAGGUCCUCGAUUUCCUUGACUCAGCCCAAGUGGAUGAGUUCUUCGUGGAUGAGUUCUUCGCAAUGAGGAGACUAGGGGCCUUAUUCAGUCAGGGCUGUAUCUAGGGAUGGGCAAUAUCGCCAAUUUUAUUAGAAAUGUUUCUAAUUUAUGGGUGAUUCACCAUAUACCUAGAUAUUUAAAAAUGUUUCUCUAAAUAAGCUUUGUUGUACAAUUAUAGGUCAAAUACCAAAUUUAUACCAAGGCUAAAUUGAAGCCUUCCACAACCAUAACUCACUAAUAAUGUAAUUAUUUUUUCAAAAUAGUUUAACCUGCUUUUCUGCAAUAAUCACUGAUCUGGCAUUCAAGUUUCUCAGAUGAAAAUGCCCUUUUUGUUACAAAUUUAACCAGAACCAUGUGUAAUUGCACAUUCACUAAUAAUGAGUAACUUCUUGUAGCAGUCAUUAUAGAAAAUUAACACAGGUCUCAUAAACAGUCACUCGAACACAAGCCCACAUGCAGGGAUGCAAGCUAGUCACCUUUCGGUUAAAUUCGCAGUUUUGAAUUCAAAAUAGGUGACCUAUGUGAUUCGUGUAGAUCCGAUGAGAAAUGUUUGGGAGGGAGGGGGGCUUUGGAUCACACUACUAGCUGUAAGCGAACGAGUGAUGCGCGUUUGGGGCAAUACUGGCUGUAUCCAAGGCUCAGCCAAUUGUUCACAUAACAGCAGAAUGCAGCACGCUACUGAAGAGAGAAGAGACAACCAAUUUGCUAGUUACAGCAUCAGUGCGUGCUCUGGAAAGACAGCAGAGAGUAGAAAGGCAGUUUGCCAUUGACAGCAGCGCGUCUCCUGAACGAUAACGGAGAGGUAGGUGAAAAGCCUGACCACGGAGACGGGGGUGAGAAGGUGAUAAAGCGUAGUUCAUGAGCUGUAACCGAAAAACAACUGGUAUUUGGACAGUUUGAGGUGAGGGAGAAAGUGUGGUGGAACAAGUACUAGUAUUAGCAUUGUUAAGUAACGCUAUCUUGCUAGCUGGAUCAAAUUCUCCGUUAGCUAGCCCGAGAAAUGUUGAGCAACAUUAGCCAACUUAACUGAUCAAAUAAUUGAGUUUAUGGUGUGAAAAUGAGCUGGUCAAUAAAGUCAGACAGCUAACGUUACAACAUCAGAUGAGCUUACAUUAGUGACCUAACCAAUUCGCUAUAGUAUUGAUUUAACUGGUAUAACGUUACGACUCCUUGCUGUUCCUCAAGCUAUAACGCGUUAGUUGCUUACUGGACCCUGGCAAUCUGUGUGAAAUGUUAACUAGCAAACGAACUAACUACUAUCUGUGAACUAUUGUUUUCCCUCUACAAUAUGUGCUUACGAGGGCCGCAUCAUUCUUGUUUCUCACUUCAUUCACUUCGCAGAUGGUGUUAAAGCACUCCGAACCAGUGAUAGUGGUCCAAAGCCACUGCUCCUGUGUUGCAGGAAGUGCUGUGCAAUCAUCUGGUGGCCCUUCUUUACCAGACAGCCCACUACUCUCAACUAAACAUUCCUGCUGCACAGACACAGAACAGCAUUGGCACAAGCCAAGAACACUUGGUGUGAAACCAGGUCCGGUUGAUGGGAUAGAGUUCCGUAAACCUACUAACUUGUGUGCUGAUGGAAUAAGAAGUUCUCUCUACAAAGCACUCAAUGGAUACAUGCCAACUUUUCUCCACUUACUGCCCCUCUUGUGACAACAAUGGAAAUGUCAGCUGACGUGCCCCUGGUUGAGUCCGCCUUUGGGCCAGUGCAAGCCGGCAGUGUUCUGUCCUAUCAGCUUCCACAGCCAAAGACCCGUGAAAUUGUGAAGAUUGCCGAUGCCACUUCUCCACCAAUACUUCCAUUAGAUGGCUACAGGCUUCAGGCUUCCCAGUGUGCUUACGUCCUUAGCCAUCAGGAGCAGUUCCACCUCAAGGCAUUAGAGACAACCUACGAGAUGUCACACAAAGUCGAGGUUGCUACAAGGGAGCAGAGCAGCAGCCCGGAAUGGCAUCAGCUCAGGAAAAUGAGAAUAACAUCCUCUCGUUUCCAAGAGGUUUGCCAUGUCCGGGGAGACUUCAGCUGACCACCUAGCUGAGCGGAUGUUCAAGGGAUCUGGUAUGCAGACCAUGGAGAUGAAGAGGGGGCUAGCCAUGGAGCCAGUGGCUGUACAGGAGUACUGCACACUGAAGAAUGUUAACUUCUUUCCGUGUGGCUUCGUAGUGCACCCGGAUGCUCUGUGGUUAGGAUCCUCUCCAGAUGGAAUCAUAUUUGUGAGACCACACUUUGGACUCUUAGAGGUCAAGUGCCCAAAUGUACCAAGUUAUGUUGACUGCCCUUACCUGAAGAUACAGAAUGGAGAGCUGAAGUUGAAGAGAUCUCAUGCUUACUACUGGCAGGUGCAAGGUCAAAUCCUUAUCACAGGUUGUAGGUGGUGUGACUUUGUCAUCUGUGCACAGGAGGACAUCCUAGUUGAAAGGAUAUAUACAGAUCUACAGGUUUCAAAAACUAUAAGAGAGAAGGUUGACCACUUUUAUUUUUACCACUACUUGCAGAAGUGUCUAUCUCGCAACUGAAUGGAUGCCCUGCAUGGGUGCCAAGUUCAGUGGUUUUAUGAAAAAUAAGUAUUGAUGUUCUCGUGAAGAAAUCUACAGUAGAAUAGAUUUGUUUAAAAAAAUAUAUAUAUUUCAGCAAAUGUUCAACAGUUCAGUUAAUCAAUUACACAUCUCUAACAUUGUAUUCAAUCUUGCAUUCUGUGUUUUACUUGAUUUCUUUCCCCCACCCCUGUUACUCAUUGCCUAAUUAAAGCCAAUACAAGCUCCAC